rnacentral:rRNA from 1 species
GACGAACGCUGGCGGCGUGCUUAACACAUGCAAGUCGAACGGAAAGGCCCUGCUUUUGUGCGGUGCUCGAGUGGCGAACGGGUGAGUAACCCGUGAGUAACCUGCCCUUGACUUUGGGUUAACUUCAGGAAACUGGGGCUCAUACCGGCUAGGAGCUCCUGCUGCUUGGUGGGGGUUGGAAAGUUUCGGCGGUUGGGGAUGGACUCGCGGCUUAUCAGCUUGUUGGUGGGGUAGUGGCUUACCAAGGCUUUGACGGGUAGCAGGCCUGAGAGGGUGACCUGCCACACUGGGACGGAGAUACGACACAGACCCCUACGGGAGGCAGAAGAGGGGAAGAGUGCACUAGGGGAGGAAGCCAAAUGCAGCAAAGCCGCGUGCGGGAUGACAGCCUGCGGUUAGUAAUCCGCUUUCGCCUUUGACGAAGCGUGAGUGACGGUAAUGGGUAAAGAAGCACCGGCUAACUACGUG